CACCAGGCCCUGCGACAGGCCAUUUUCCUACUGCCAGGGACCUCAGCGGUAGGUUGUCAUACCCUACCGCCAAAGGUCUGGCGGUAAGAAAAGGGCCAGAUCCAAACAAAUUCACGAUCAGGGUCAAAUCCGGCUAAACUUAGGCAAAAGGGUUAAAAGAGUGAAUUUGUCCGCCAAGAGGAGGCUGAGGCGUUGGCGGUCUAGCAGAGCUCGAGGUCCCACCAUUACCGCGUCUGUGCUUAUUUCCGCACCGUGACCAUGAACCGCGCUAGAGGUGUUGGGGUUGACAGGUGAGGCAGGAGCGUGGUGGGGCACGUGACAACUAACGCAUGGGUGCUCUAGUGGCACACCGCCUAUUCAACGUGGAGAUCUGUGAGCAGUAGGAAUGACCAUGCGUGCAACAAGAAGGUAAGGGGAUUACGUGUCAUGAGGUGGGGGAUGACAACAUGAUAUUGGUGGUUUAGACCGCGCAACAGAUGGAGGAUUUGUCGGGUUUCUGUGACCGACUGGCCAAGAUCGCGAAGUUGACCGGUGUAUACCUUGAGAUUGGUGCAUGAUGGGCAUGUCCCUUGCACAAUGGUGUGGUACUCCACAUUGGUGUGGAUGACACGGGAGAGUUGGUUGGCCCAGAAGAUGGCAUAGACGACAGCCCACACAGCGGCAGAAGUGUCCUCGGGUUACAUGACCAUGUCGAGGAGGUCGGGCGAGAGGGUGAUGGAGAGCGAGUGCACAACGACGUGACCCGCCAUCACCCAGUCUAGGUCAUUGGAGCGAUGUAGUGCGCUGGUGCCGAUGUGGUCGUGGAGACCAAACAUGCCGAGCACGGUGUCGAAGUGCCGACGCCAUUGGCCGUAGUUGUCGGCGGCAAGAUCAAAGACCACCAGACCAUCUUGAGAACACGGGUGGGGGCAUGAUGUGCCAUGGCUACCGGAGCGGCAGGGGUCAUGUCUACUACAUAACUUUAUUCUUGUAGGCUAUGUUGGGCAUCCAAGUAUAGAGUUUUGUAGGACAGUAGCAAUUUUUCUCUCAAGUGGAUGACCUAAGGUUUAUCAAUCGGUGGGAGGUAUAGGAUGAAGAUGGUAUCUCUCAAACAAGCAUGCAAUUAGAUACAAAAAAUCUCUUGUGUCCCCAACACACCCAAUACAAUGGCAAAUUGUAUAGGUGCACUAGUUCUAUGAAGAGAUGGUGAUACAAGUGUAGUAUGGAUAGUAGAUAUAGGUAUUGUAAUCUGAAAAUAUAAAAACAACAAGGUAGCAAGUGCAAAACAUCGAGCAAAAUGUUGUAUAAAUGGCCGGAAAUAAGGCCUAGGGUUCACACUUUAACUAGUGCAAUCUCUCAACAAUGCUAUCAUAAUAGAAUCAUAUGAUCAUCCCUCAACGUGCAACAAAGAAUCACUCCAAAGUUUCUAUCUAGCGGAGAACAAUAAGACGAAAUUGGUGUAGGUAGUAGAACCACCUUAAAGUUAUUCUUUCUGAUCAAUCUUGUGAGCUAUUCCUAUAAGUGUCACAAACAACCCUAGAGUUCGUACUAUAAUAACACAUAUGAUACAUAUCAAUCAACCUUAAUGUCACCUAGAUAGUCCAAUGUCACCUCAAGUAUCCGUGGGUAAAUUAUGCGACAUGCAUCAAACAAUUUCAGAUCUAACAUAUUCAAUCCAACACAAAGAACUUUAAGGAGCACCCCUAGAUUUCUAUCGGAAAACAUAGUAUGAAAAUGCGCAAUCAACACCUAUGCAUAGAUCCCCACCGGAAUCCGCAAGUUGAUGUCAUAACGUAUAUCAAGCGAAUCACUUGAAUUCCCUAAUGUCACUACGGGUAUCCGCAUGCAAGACAUACAUCAAGUGUUCUCAAACCAAAGUAUUCAAUCCAACAUAACGAGAUCUUAAAGGGAAAGAUUCAAUUCAUCACAACAAGAUGGCAAGGGAAGAACACCAUAUGAUCCAACUAUAUUAACAACGCCCGUGAUACAUCAAGAUCGUGCCAUCUCAAGAACACGAGAGAGAGAGAGAUUGAACACAUAGCUACUGAUACAUACCCUUAACCCCGAGGGUGAGCUACUCCCUCAUCAUCAUGGACUCCGCCGGUAUGAUGAAGAUGGCCACCAGCGAUGAAUUCCCCUAUCCGACAGGGUACCGGAAAGGCUCCAGAUGGGUUUUCUGUUGAUAGAGAGAGUUGCGCCGGCGGAGCAAAAGUACUCUCUUUAUUUCUGGGGUUUCUGGUAUGUAUAGGAUUUUCCAGUGUUGGAAUCACGCCAAACAGAGCCAUGCGGUCCCCACAAGCCAUCAGGGCGCGGCCUAGGAGGAUGCCCUGUUAGCUUGUGGGCCAAAGGGGGCUCCCCUUUGGUGGUUCUUCGCUGCAAUAUUUCUUAUUUCCUCUAGAAAAAAAAGGUUUCGCUUCAUUUUGUGCAGAAAACAACACAAUGGUAAUUCUGCUAAAAACAACGUCAGUCCAGGUUAGUUUUAAAUAAAUCAUAUAAAGUGUAUCAAAACCAUAUAAAAGUAUUGUAAACAUAGGCAAACAUGACAUGAAUUACUUCAUAAACUAUCGAUGCGUUGGAGACGCAUCAGCAUCCCCAAGCUUAAUUCCUACUCGUCCUCGAGUAGGUAAAUGAUAAAAAUAAUAAUUUAUGAAGUGUGAAUGCUAGCAUAGUAUAUAAGUUUGAUCAAUGAUAAUUCCAAUCACUUUUUCUAGCAUCAUAACCAACAACUUUUUCAUAAAAAUCAUCAUGGUUGGGUAGCAAUCAAUUCACAUGUCAUGGUUUAAACAAUGCAUUCUCUUGAAACUCAACAUCAUAUGUUCUUAUUCAUCAAACAAUUUCAAUGCAUCAUCAAGUCUAAGUAAGAGCUCCACAUACUCAAUUAUCAUAUAGUCUUCUAUGAUUGCUAAUAUUCAAAGCAUAUUUUUAGAACAAAUAACAUCCAUCGAACACAAAGAAAGAUAGGGGCUUAAUGUUUCGCCUCCUAACAUAUUUAUCAUAAAGAUAAUUGCCAACAAUAAUGAAUCAUGAUCAAAUAUAUUUGAGUGGGUAUAUAUGUUUGGAUCUUUCCCCAUCAGAUGGCGCUUGCCAACUAAUAGACCGAUGUUGGAAUAAGAAGUUGACUCAACAUGAAAAGUAAUUAACAUGGAAGUAAAUAGAUUGUACCUUCAUAGAGGGAAGCAUGGAUUUGUAGAGGGGCCAGAACUCAUUGUUUUAAAAUAGAGAUGAAUAUGUAAUUUUGGGUGGUGUGCCUUUUGUGUCAACGUCACUACAGAGUUUUCAAUAUCUUCCAUGCUAAUCACAUUAUUGGCGGUUCCCAAACAGAAUAGAAACUUUACCCCCCUCCACCAUUCAAACACAUUCCCUGGCUAGUCGUAUCCAUGGGUACCAUCCAAACCAUCAACUUUAUAGGGGGAGUUCUUGUUUAUUUAAUUUUGUAUUAUGCAGGACUAGACAUCCUUUUUAGCAACCUCUCUCAUGCAAUGACAUGUGAAUAAACACUCAUCUUGAGAAUAACUCGCUUAACAUGAAAGAUAAUGACCGCCCCGUCACUCCAUGAGUGGUACGAGCACACAAAAUGGAUGUUUAUUUGAAUGUUUAGAGGUGUCACAUGCAAAUUUACUUGGAAUGGCAAUGAAAAUACCGUAUAUAGGUAGGUAUGGUGGACUCUUAUGGAAGAAACUUGGCUCAGGGAUUUGGAUGUACAUGUAGUAUCUCUACUUAGUACGAAGGUUAGGCUAGCAAAAGGUUCUAAACAAUCACCACAUGUUGGAGAGUCCAUAACAAUAUAACUUCUAUGCAAAUAUACCCAAACAUAACCAUUACGUUGUUGUCUUCCUUGUACAACUUCAACUAUUUUAUGAAGGCUUAAAAUAAUUAAUGGGUACUCACAAUCAUAAAAGAUGUCCAAUAUAAUAUAUUUGUAUGUGAAAGUUCUUUUUCUUAUACUAAUUAUUCAUGAAUUGCUUGUAUGACCAAUAUUGUGAGUGUCAAACUUCAAUAGUUUUUCACUUUCUAAACAAAGUGUGAAACUACUACUAAGCAUAAAGCACGUUGAUAAUUUCAUAUUUAUCAUAUUUAAUUCAUUCACAAUUUACUCUUAGUAUAUAAGUGAAGCACAAGAGUAAACAUCAAACUACUCUCAAAACAUAUAAUUGAAGAUCAAUGAGUAGUCAAACAAUUAAGUAGAUAUGUGAGGACUCUCUCUCAAUAAAGAUUUUCAGAUCUUAGAAUUUUAUUUCAAACAUGAAGGAAAACAAAAUAUACAUUCCAAGAAUAGCACAUAUCAUGUGAACAAAAUAAAACUUAGGAUCAACAUAGGCUAACCGAUAUUUAUCGAUGAAGAGGGGUGGGAUUCGUAGCAUCCCCAAGCUUAGAAUCUUGAGACUUCUUGAAAUAUUUACUUGGGGUGGCUUGGGAAUCCCCAAGCUCGAUAUUUUGCAUCUCUUUCAAUCCUCUCAUAUCCUGGUUUCACCUAAGUCUCAGAAACUUCAUCCACAAUACUUGAAAAGAACUCGUGAGAUAGGUUAGCGUACAUAAGAAUAAAUCAACUCUUUAUGUGCUACCAAGAAAAGUUGCAUGAUAAUUUCAAAAUAUCAUCUACCGUUUACUAUCAUUUCCACAAUUUAUAUCUACCAAUGUAGUCUGUGGAAACUAUAGGAUAAGUAGAUAACAAAACUAUGCCAGCAGUGUGUCUAAACAGGACAUUCAGUAGCAAUUAAUUCAAAAAGUAUACCUCUGUAAAUCAAAAAAUCUGACAAUUUAGGACAUGAUAAAGUAUUUGUAUUAUAUAAUUGUGUAAAACUUCAGAAACUUUCCUUGUUCUAGUAAAAUCUGAUAAUUCAAAUACUACAUGGAAAGUUUCUGUUUUUAUACACCACAUAUCACAAAUGCAAUUCAAGCAUCUAAAGACAAUUCUUGGAACUUUUUAUUGAAUAACAAGAAUAUAAAUAACAUAUAAUAGAGAAGAACAAAAUAAAAUGACCCUCCAAGCAAAAUACAUAUCAGUGAUGAAUAAAAAUAUAGCUCCAAUUAAGAUAUACCGAUAAUGUUGUAUACGAAAGAGGGGAUGCCUUCUGGCGCAUCCCCAAGCUUAGACGCUUAAGUAUUCCUUGGAUAUUACAUUAGGGGUGCCUUGGGCAUCCUCAGUAUUAGGUUAUUUCUGCUCCCUAUUCUCCUUAUAUUGGUAUCUCACCAAAAAAUUGAAAACUUCAAUCACACAAAACUUAACGGAACUUUGUGAGACGGGUUAGUGUAAUAAAGAUAGAUCAUUCACUUAGGUACUAUCAUAAUAAGAUUUAUAAUUGCUAUCACAUGAUACAUACUGUAUUCUAUCAUUUCCAUAAUUUAUAUCACUAAAUAUAAGCUAUAGAAACACUAAACACAAGCAAACUAUGCAUGCAAAACAGAUGUGUGAAAAAUAUAAGAGUCCGUGAAUAUCUGACUCAACACCAUACUUUCCCAACUCUAAAACUUCUGAACAAUUAGGAUAACACAUAGAAUUUUCAUAUGCAAACUAUGUAAAAGUUUCAGAUUUUUUUGACAUUCUAGUAAAAUGAGAGAAAUUCUGCACUCGACGUAAAAGUUUCUGUUUUUGCAAAGAAUCAAACAAGCAAAUAUCCACAUUAUCCCAAAGGCUUUACUUGGCACCUUAUUGAAAUAAAUGACACAAAAUAUGAUUACUACAGUAGAUUAAUCAUGUGAACACAUGAAAAUAGAAAGUAAAAGUGUUGGGUUAUCUCCCAACAAGUGCUUUUCUUUAAUACAUUUUAUCUAGGCAUGAUGAUUCCAAUGAUGCUCACAUAGGAAUAGUAUUUGAAACAUGCAAGAGAGCAUCAUGAAUCACAUUGCAAGCACAUUUAAGUCUAACCCACUUCCUACACAUAGGGAUUUUUAAGCAAACAAUUUAUUGUAGCAAGAAUCAACUUGCAUAAGAAGGCAAAACAAGCAUAACUUCAAAAUCUUGAACACAUAGAGAGGACACUUGAUAUUAUUGCAAUACCUACAAGCAUAUGUUCCUCUAUCAUAAUAAUUUCCAGUAGCAUCAUGAAUGAAUUAAACAAUAUAACUAUCACAUAAAUCAUUUUUUCAUGAUGCACAAUCAUAGAAUUUUAUUACUACCCACACAUGCAAAAUUCUUAUCAUUCAUAGUAGUGGGAGCAAACUCAACAAAAUAACUAUCAUGAGAUACUUGAUUGAUAUAAUUCAUGCGAUCAUUAAAAUCAUGACGACAAGUUUCAUGGUUAUCCUUAUUCUUUAUAGCAUAAAUAUCAUCACAAUAAUAAUCAUAGAUAGGAGGCAUGAUUUCAUCAUAAUAAAUUUGCUCAUAAAAACUUGGGGGACUAAAAAUAACAUCUUCAUCAAACAUAGCAUUCCCAAGCUUGUGGCUUUGCAUAUCAUUAGCAUCAUGGAUAUUCAGAUAAUUCAUACCAACAAUAUUGCUACCAUUCUCAUCAUUCAAGGAUUCACAUUAAGCAUUUUCAUAAAUUCUUCCUUUAGCAAUUGAGCACAAUUUUCUGAACCAUCAUUUUCGCGGAAGACAUUAUAAAGACGAAGCAAAUGAGGUAACCUAAACUCCAUUUUUUGUAGUUUUCUUUUAUAAAAACAAACUAGUGAAAAACAAGCAACUAAAAGAUUUAAUUGCAAGAUCUAAAGAUAUACCUUCAAGCACUCACCUCCCCGGCAAGGGCGCUAAAAAGAGCUUGAUGUCUACACAACUUUAUUCUUGUAGACUAUGUUGGGUUUCCAGCCGCAGAGUUUUGUAGGAGACUAGCAAUUUUCCUUCAAGUGAAUGACCUAAGGUUUAUCAAUCCAUGGGAGGUGUAGGAUGAAGAUGAUCUCUCUCAAACAACCCUGCAAUAAAAUACAAAAAAUCUCUUGUGUCCCCAACACACCCAAUACAAUGGCAAAUUGUAUAGGUGCACUAGUUCGGCGAAGAGACGAUACAAGUGUAGUAUGAAUAGUAGAUAUAGGUUUUUGUAAUCUAAAAGUAUUAAAAUAGAAAGGUAGCAAGUGUAAAACGGCGAGCAAAACGUUGUAUGAAUGCUUGGAAAUGCUAUCAUAAUAGAAUCAUAUGAUCAUCCCCUCAACGUGCAAUAAUGAAUCACUCCAAAGUUCCUAUCUAGCGGAGAACAAUAAGAUGAAAUUGGUGUAGGUAGUAGAACCACCUCAAAGUUAUACUGUAUGAUCAAUCUUUUGAGCUAUUCUUAUAAGUGUCACAAACAGCCCUAGAGUUCGUACUAGAAUAACACCCAUGAUACAUAUCAAUCAACCCUAAUGCUUCCUAGAUACUCCAAUGUCACCUCAAGUAUCCAUGGGUAAAUUAUUUGACAUGCAUAAAACAAUUUCAUAUCUAAUAUAUUCAAUCCAACACAAAGAACUUCAAGGUGCACCCAAUAUUUCUAUCGGAUAACGUAGUAUGAAAACGUGCAAUCAACCCCUAUGCAUAGACCCCCAAGGUCAUUGGAAUCCGCAAGUUGAUGUCAUAACAUAUAUCAAGUGAAUCACUUGAAUACCCCAAUGUCACUACGGGUAUUCGCAUGCAAGACAUACAUCAAGUGUUCUCAAACCAAAGUAUUCAAUCCAACAUAACAAGUUCUUAAAGGGAGAGAUUCAAUUCAUCACAACGAGAUGUUACGACAACAAAGGACAACCUCGUCGCCGCCGAGAGAGGGAAUGGGAGUGUGGUUGGGGUUUGAACCCAUGGCAGCGGAAGCGGGAUUAUGCCCGAAAGGAUUGAACAACUCCUCUGCGACUGAUACAAUGUAAACAAGAUUAGGAUUCAACACACUUUGCAUUAGCUUAAAGGUUGUGUAUAUGUACACUUACAGGGUCAUAACCGUGGCUAGGACGUGUGUCACUACCUCAGUAAGCCCACUACAACCACUAACACGGGCUAGGCCGUGGGCACAACCGUUCACGGUGACCACUACGUCAACGCACGCACGCGCACAGGUCAUGUGUACUGAAAAAUUGUAAAAAGGAUCAUUAACAUGAGUUUUUCUUACAAAAUUAACAAUCAAAUCUAGCUUAUACAGCUAGAAAAUGGGACAACUAGACCAACCGAUGUACUCCCCCUGUUCCUAAAUAUAAGUAUUUUUACAGACUCCACUCUAAAGAAAAUGGGACAACUACAACAAAGUGAGUGAACCUACACUCUAAAGUGUGUAGAUAUACAUCCAUAUGUAGUCUCUUAGUGAAACCUUUAAAAAGAUUUAUAUUUAGAAACGAAGAAAGUAGAAAUGACCUUAAACAAAGGAGAAAUUACAACCAAAACUCUGGACCUUAGAAUUCUCACCAAAGUUGUAGCCGAUAUCAUUGCGACACAAUAGCUCUCAUGAGCGAUAGACCUGUAGAGGACCAAACCUUGUUCAAUAACUGUAGCAUUAAACCACCAUAAAUGGUGGAUAUUAUCAAUCAUGCCAAGCUCUUCGACGAGGGCAUCACCUGAUCUAGGCAAACAACCACUCUAGCAUAGCUAGACCAGGGGGUGACCUUGCUCAAAAGUAGUGUCAUAAGUGAAGGCUGUCGCCGAUACCCAUGGAGCCACGUCGAUGGACAAUAAACAAAUCUCCUUGGCAACACCGGACGGGUCACCACAAUGAUGAGAUUAGAGUGUGAGAACUUCCGUUCAAGAUGACACCACCAUCAUUGUUCAAAUGAUGUUACCAAAACACAAACAAAUAUCCAAAAAGAACCUCCCCUACACAAUAAGAAAGACGAGGAUCUCCUCCCCUUUGCCCCCAUAACAUCGAAGUGGUAGUUGGAGGCACACAGGAGCUACAAUAAGAUAUGGAUAGAUCAUCAAAUGAAUCUUAUCUUUAUUAUGGCUUAAAAGGGUUUUAUGUGUUUUUGUUUAGCUAAACUAACAUAUUAUAUUUAUUUUUGAAAAUAGUUACAUCAUCCGCUAAAUACAUACACCAGGAAAAAUGAGGGAUUCAUAUUGGCUUCCCUAAGGCAGUGCUCAAAUGAAACUUGUGAAAAACUACGACAUAAAACAUACAAGUCUUCAUUACUAGACAUAUUGGUUUCAUGCAGGGGCGGACCUAGAAACUAUUUUAAGUGGGGGCAAAUAAUAGGAGUGGGGGCACACUUUGUACAAAUUUACAUAGUUUUGGCAAAAAAUUCUAAAAUUUCAAAGAAAUAUAACUGGAGUUUCAUAUUUUGAGUGGGGUCCUAGGCCCCCACUCCCAUGAAUGUGGGUCCGCCCCUGGUUUCAUGUGUUGUUUAGUAGAGAGGAUUCUCUUAAUCAUAGAUGAAAUUUUUAAAAAAGAAAAUGGAAAUUAAAGUUCUUUGAUCGAAAAAAGAAAUUUAAACCGGUAAGAUUACACUUGCCCUACCAAAGUUAAGUAGGUCUCCAUUCAAAUAAAAAAGGGGCAUGCUACGCGUCAUUUGCCGUAUCUUUUCAGAAAGAUCCGUCGCCUUACAAGUCGUCCGAUACAUGAUGCAAGUUGUGAGUUCCUCUUCUCUAAUUUUCUGUAAUAAUACUCUUAUUGCGAAACUCUUUUUUUUUAAAUUUCCUGCAAUAAUGCAUUUGAUACGAAUCCCCUCUUCUCUAGUUUCCUCCAAGAAGUCCCUUGUUGUAUUUUUUUUCUAAAUUUUUUGUAACAAGACCUUUGUUGCAAAAAAUGCAAACACAUCUCCCGUAGUGUUCAAUUUUCUGUAACAAGACACUUGUUGCGAAAGUUGCAACAACAUCUCCAGCCGCAUCGCGCACUAACACAAUCGUCUUUUGUUGUCGUUGUUCUGUUGUUAUAUAAAUUUGGAGCGGACAUGAAGGUACGACAUGGUGAUGUGGCUGCUGCUAGAGUUGGUGGUGCCCAAAACGGCACAACUGAAACAAGAGGUGAGUUGCAAAAACUGUAUUAGGAUAAUGAUUGCUUUUAAAUAAUUCGAUUCAAAUAAAAUCCAACGGUUACAAAGGAGGUGGACGCGUACACAAACGUUCGCCGAUUGGACGAUAGCUUUUUCCAAUAAAAAAACGUCAAGUAAGCCUAGAAAUGAGGAUGGACCGUGGACGCGACCUAACCUUUUUUUAAGCACAGGCCUAGUUCUGGACCGCAAUAGCCCAAUCGACCAAUGUGAUUCGGUACGGCCCACGGGUCUGACGGAUGGAAUGGACGCGCCCUAACUCGCAGAUCGCACUUCGCAAGCCGCGCCGCCGCCGCUCCCCACGCUCGUCGGGCACACGCCGUCAAACCACUCCACUCCACCCACCCGUCCGCCGUCUCCCACGCNCGGCGGCGAGCCCAGCGAUAGGGCAAAGCGCGACUGAAUCGGCGUGCAAUCGGAGGCGCCGGGCGGGGGCGGCACCGCGGCAGGCUGCCAGCGAAUCGGUCGGUUGCCGCUCCGUUCGUCUUCGUCUGAUGGCUGUCGACGCCAUGUUCCCUGUCCUGCGCUUCUCCGACUACUUCACCCGGCCGUCCAUCGACGAGCUGGUCGAGAGGGAGGCGGCUGACCCGGGCUACUGCAGCAGGGUUCCAGAUUUCGUCGUCGGCAGGGUGAGGUAUGGGCAGGUUAAGUUCUCUGGCAGCACCGACGUGAGGGGGCUGGACCUGAACGAAAUCGUCAAGUUUGGCCGCCAUUCUGUGGUGGUUUACGGGGACGAGGCUGGCAAGCCGGCCGUAGGGCAUGGCUUAAAUAAAGCCGCGGAGGUGACGCUGAAGCUGGAUUUGAGUACACUUCCGAAACCCGGUGUCCUAGUCGAGUUGCUAAGGUGCCGCACGAAGAAGCAAGGCGCUAGGUUUCUCUCAUUCAAUCCUGUGAAUGGUAACUGGAAGUUCCAGGUCGACCACUUCAGUAGGUUUGGGCUUGUGGACGAGGAGGAAGAUGAUGUUGCCAUGGAUGAGCCGGUUGUUCGACAACCGGUUGCUGAAGCAAGAGACCCACCUCCAAAUGGGCAUGAGCUGGAGCUUUCGCAUUCGUUGCCUGCUCAUCUUGGGCUUGACCCUGCAAAGAUGCAGGAAAUGCGGAUGGCAUUGUUUCCCAAUGAUGAAGAAGACGAAGAUAUGGAGGAUGGCUUUCCAUCUGAUCACAGACACCUCAGCAGAGAAAGGAUGAAUGUGGAUUCACCCAACACAAGUGGUAAAGGUCAGAGGAUGAGGUCUCUGUCUCCUUUGCAUGGUUCUUCUCAGAAAUUUGGAAGGAGAUCUGGUGUGCUUGCAAGGAAAGAACCACAUGCACUGCUGGAAUACAAUGUAAAAUCUACAGAGCUUGGUCCAUCUUCUCAUGGUAUUCUCAUGUCUGGAAAAAACAAGGGAUUUCCGGUGAGAAUGACCAAGGUAGAAGGCUUCAAACUACCAGCUGAGCAAGCAACUCCUGUUGCUGGAAAAGUAUAUUCUAACUGUGUAGUGGAUGCUGCUUUAUUUAUGGGUAGAUCAUUUCGAGUUGGUUGGGGACCAAAUGGCAUCCUUCUCCAUUCUGGUAGUCUUGUCAAUGCUCCUGGGACAGGCCUUUCUUCUGUUAUUCACAUAGAGAAAGUAGCAGGUGAUAAAGUUGUGCGUGAUGAGCAGAACAAAGUUAAAGAGGAGCUGGCAGAACUAUGUUUCUCGGACCCAAUGGACCUCCAUAAGAGGCUUGACCGCGAACUUCUGGAAACCGAGUCUGGCUCGUUUAAAUUAAAACUUCAGAAAGUUGUGGCAAGUCGUUUGGUUUUGCCAGAUAUUUGCAGAUCAUAUAUUGAUAUCAUCGAAAGACAGCUAGAAAUCAGCGAUUUAUCCAUGUCUUCACGUGUGCUGUUAAUGCACCAAGUUACAGUUUGGGAGUUAAUUAGGGUCCUGUUCUCAGAGAGAGAAGCUGGUAACCAGUUGGAAUUUAGUGGCGAUGAGGAUCAGGAGGGCAUGAUUUUGGAUAAGAAAGAAGGUUCUGUGAACAUAGAUCCUGAAGCACUGCCUUUGGUUAGGAGAGCAGACUUUAGCAAUUGGUUACAGGACAGUGUUUGUCAUCGGGUACAAGGAGAGGUGGGUUCCUUAAGUGAUGCCAGGUACUUGGAGCAUAUUAUUCUGCAUUUGUCUGGUCGGCAACUGGACACAGCCACAGAAAUUGCUGCUUCAAGGGGCGAUGUCCGCUUGGCAGUCCUGUUAAGCCAGGCAGGUGGAUCGAUGUUAAAUCGUUCUGAUGUUGCUCAGCAGCUGGAUCUGUGGAAAAUAAAUGGUCUGGACUUUGAUUAUAUUGAGGAAGACAGGUUAAGGAUUUAUGAGUUGCUUGCUGGUAACAUACAAGGCGCGUUACUUGAUUCACCAAUCGACUGGAAAAGGUAUCUUGGUUUAAUCAUGUGGUAUCAGUUGUCACCAGAUACAUCACUUGACAUUAUCAUUCAGUGUUAUCACCAACUACUUGGUGAGGGCAAAGUUCCAAAUCCUGUUCCUGUAUACAUCGAUGAAGGACCUCUUGAGGAAGCACUUCAGUGGUCCCCAGGUGACCGUUUUGACAUAUCUUUUUAUUUAAUGCUUCUUCAUGCCAACCGAGAUGAGAAGUUUGAGCUUCUAAAAACUAUGUUCAGUGCAUUCUCGUCAUCGUAUGAUCCCUUAGACUACCAUAUGAUCUGGCAUCAACGAUCUAUUCUUGAAGCUAUUGGUGCUUUCAGUACAAAGGAUCUUCAUGUACUGGAUUUGAGUUUUGUCCAUCAGUUACUAUGUCUUGGGAAGUGUCAUUGGGCUAUCUACGUCAUUCUGCAUAUGCCACAUCUGGAUGAUGCCCCUUACAUCCAUGAAAAGUUAAUCAGGGAAAUUUUGUCACAGUAUUGUGAGAUAUGGAGCAAAGAUGGGGCUCAGAGGCAAUAUAUUGCAGAACUUGGUAUACCAGCAGAAUGGAUACAUGAGGCUCUGGUUAGUAGCAAUAUCGUAACUUCCUGCUAAUUAUCUGACCUGCAGUCAAUGUGUUUUCUUUGAUGAAAAUAUGUCUAACCAUUGAUUACAAAUAUUUAUGAAUGCCACUACGAGAACACUAAGCAUGAUCCUGCUUAGCUGACAAUACCUAUAUGCAGGCUCUUUAUCACGAAUAUUAUGGAGAUCGACAAGGUGCACUGGGAAAUUAUAUUCAAUGCGGCAAUUGGAAUAAAGCUCAUACUAUUUUCAUGACAUCUGUUGCUCAUUCUUUGUUUCUGUCAUGUAAGUCUUCCCUACAAUGCACUAAACAAUAGUUGUAAAGACCCGAUUCAAUGUUUCACUUUCCUACCUACAUAAAUAUGCAGCUAAACCUACUUGGCUACUCCUCCAGAACCUAAUCAAAUGAAGAUUCUUGUGAAUUUCCAUGCUAUUCUCUUAGUUACACUUUCGUUCAUAAAAAUAUGUAUGACUGAGGAUAUCUUAUCAAUUUUGUACUGUUUCUGUUAAUAAACAUUGCAUGAGUUUGUAAUUGCUUGUUUCUUCGGCAUAUGGUUCAGCAAAACAUCAAGAAAUCUUUGACAUUACAAGCGCUUUGGAGAAUCACAGAUCUGAAAUUGCUGACUGGGAUGUUGGGGCUGGAAUAUACAUAGAUUAUUUCGUUAUAAAAAACUCUAUGCAAGAAGAAAGUACUAUGGACGAUGAUUCAGUAAGUAUUUUUACCCAUCAAAGUUUACCUGAAUAUUUCAGAGUCGACACAAUCUUACUUUAUCUUCCAGGACACACUUGAGGGGAAAAAUGAAUUGUGCAAGAGUUUCUUUGAUCGAUUAAAUGAGUCGCUGAGUAUCUGGGGAAGCAAAUUACCCAUUGAGGCAAGGUAAGAUGGUAUCCGUUGAUGUAAUAGAUCUACAACCUGCUAGUAAUCAAAUAUUGAUGUUUACAUGAAAUUGUUUGGACUUUCAUGUCAUGUUUGAACUGAAGUAAUCCUGCUUCUAAGAAACAUAAUUUUGAUUUGCAGUGUUGACAAGUUCCCAUAUAAUUAGAUUCUUUGCAUAGAGCCACAUAUUAAUUUGCACCUGAACUGUAUAACCCAUUUCCAAAUCCAAGCUUCUUAGUCACAAUGGAAAUCGUGGUUAUUCCUUACACGAUUUGGCUGAUUCUUUAAAUCCAUCAACACAUACUGGUAUUCUUAUUUAUUUUAAAACAAAGUUUGAGGCCCAUUCUCAUGCUUGUGUAACUGCGGCAGGGCAUGCUUCUCGAAGAUGGCAGAGGAGCUCUGUGAGCUUCUAAUGAGCUUCCCCGGCGAUGGCUCGACGCCAGAUCUCUUCAUGGGCUGCUUCCAGACGAUGCUUGAUGCCCCUGUCCCCGAUGACCACAGGGCGUCCUACCUGCAGGAGGCAGUCUCUGUUUUCACCAACAUACUUUGCGAGUACUCAUCCUAGUCCUAUGGGACUCAUGGCAUAGUUCCUACGGAUGAUCCAUGACAUAGUUCCUAUGGUGCUCAAGUCAGUCACGGAAUCCGGGUUGCGCAAGAGCUCUGAAUUGGCACACCACGCAUUUGGAACAAGUUACAGAGAUUCCCAUGUCUGAAGCUGAGGGAAAUGUAGAACAUUGCCAUGGUCGGUGCAGACAAUUGCCCACCCCUGCAAACGCAUGAGGAAACCUGACGAUAUUUUUCUGCACGCGUGCCACUUUUCUUGUAACCCGUGUGCCGCACCCAUUCGGGCAUCGUCUUUUUUGUUAUUAUUGUUACGUAGAACAAUAACUCAUGUAGGGUUGUAGUAGAGUGUUUGUGUGUGUUGAAAUGCCAAAGAGUCGGUUGUAGAUUUAUCGCAGGCAAUACGUAGGCUGAUCUUGUUGUUUUGUGGCGUGCGGAUACUGCUUUUCGCGAACCAUGUGAAAGCUGUGGUUUGUUCAAAGGAGAGCGACGAGUGCUUUCGGUGUAAUACCGGGGACGGUAGCAGCACAGCCCACAUGCGUGGGUCACCGGUUUUCGCUCGUUCUCCGUAUGGUGUGUGUCAAGUAGUAUUUCUCAUCGGCCAAAUCAUUGGAGGAAAUGGUUUAUCUUCACGGCAGGAGACAGCGACGCGUUCGCUUCCCACUCACAAGGCACCGUACACCUUCUUCCUUUUCGUAAUAGCAUCAAGUACGGCCGGCUCGAGAAUUCGUCGUCAUAGUCAUCGUUCUAAAACAAAAGGGAUUUCGUCGGUACGUGCUUGCCGUCGUGUACUCCAAGUCGCCAACAACCGGAAGAUAAAACAAGAUUUGUGCCCGUGACUGUGCAGGGGCCUGGAAGAUACAUAUCUCCAACGCCAAUAGCCCCGUGCCUUGCCACCACGUUUGCCACGUCGGGUUCCGGCGACGGCGAGGGUCGCGAACCCACCACCGGCCAACGGGAUUUUAUAGAAGGAGACCGACCACCGAAAACAGCUCCCGCAGCAGGUGGCGCCCAACGGCACCCGGUAAUAAACAAAACCGGCGAUGGCGACACGAACCCACGACGCAGAGUCUUAUCCGGACCGAGCAGAGCACACCGAGUAGCGAGACCCGUCCCGGUAUCCUAUAAAAUGCACCUCACAUCGGAGGAUCCAUCCACAGCAUACAGAGCAAACCAAAGCAUCCAGGUUCCAGAGCAGCAGCAGUUUCGAGCUGAGUUGAGUGUUCUUGGGGUUGCCAAUGGCGGACAUCGCGAUGCUGGUGGCGGAGGAGCACGAGAAGAGGCUGAAGCGAGGGGCGCCCCGCGUCGUCGCCGCCGCGGCCGCCGACGAGGAGGAGGAGGCGUCCAAGGNNNNNNN
rnacentral:lncRNA from 1 species